CAGAUAAGAACUGUUUCUGAUGUACGAUGUAGUCGUGAAAUAAUCAUGAUUUUAAUCAUUUUGUCCUUCUCCUUAGAUAACUAGUCUCCUGCUUGGCUAAGUGAAUGUGUGAAACUGCAGAGAUGCAUCAAUUUGAAUCUAAAGUUAAUAAUUUUAAAGCUUAAAGCUUGUACAGUCAAAGUCAAGACAGACAAUAAGCCAAAUGAUAUUCUCAGAUGGGGUAAAAUGGAGAUAAGGUUCCAGACUGUAUGGAGAGAAGAGCGUUUACCGGUUAGUAAGAUUGGGAGUAGAAGUUUGAGACUCUAGGGCUCUGAGGGACGACCAGUAAGUGGUCUAUGUGGGUAAGUAGUCUCGAGGUCUUGCUGAAGAUGGUGAUAUUCUGUAAUAAUUUAGUAGAUAUUCCGUUUCUACAAUGUAUACAUAAACAUAUCAUGUGAUUAGAAUGUAUCUGAAUGCUGCCAACUGAAUCAGUGAGUCCAAAAUUUGAAAAGUUAUCCAGUGAAAUAGUAUUGAAUAAGGUUAAUAAAUAUAUUCCCAUAGUCACCCAUCACUCAACACAGAUAUUUUAGUAUGAUGAAGUAUAAGUACUCUAAACAUUAAAGUAUCAUGUAAGCCUAGCAGCUUCAACGAUAUCUCAUAAACUGCUAAGGAUAAAAAUUGACCUAAAUCUAGUUUUUCGUAUGGUAGUUUCGGAAUAAGAAUUAUUCAUAGGAGAUAAAGUUUAUUAACUUUUUAAUAAUUGCAGGAGCCCCCCUACCAUAGUGGCUCAAACCGGGUAUUGAUACUCGUGGCGAUCACAGCUUUAUGUUUAACAAACAAACAAAGUGAUUGCAGGAAUAUACCACGAGCUUACAAUAGGUGUUUACUGUAUAAAAACCUUCGCCACAGCUGUCAAUGUAUGAAUAUUUUUCAAGUCAAUGAGAUAUUAUAAUUCGAGUAAAAAAAUCGUAUUAAUUGGAACUGCAUCAUUCCAAAAUAUAACCUAAACCUUGUGUAAGCAUAAUGGAAUACCAGGAAAUAUAUGAAUAAAAUAACACUUUUACUGUAUUUUCUACAUAAUAUAGAUUAAGAUGAUGACAACCAGAAAGCCUCAUCCAAAGAUUCUAUAUACAGUCAGUAUUCUUUAUUAUUAUAAGCACGACAACAGGAACCUGACAUGAUCAUUGCAAACUUUUGAGGUCGUUUCUACAUUGAGUCGUAGCCAUUAAGUUUCUUCCUUUCAACGUCCGUUUUUCAAUAUGGUUCCUUAGACAGCUAUGUCCGUCAUUUGAGAUGGAAAUUGUUAAUUUAUUUCGUAUUUAAUGGUCGAACACAUUAUCAUGUUAACAAGAAAUGCGACUGCUUGUUUGAAAAUGCCUUCAAGCUCGUUCGAUAUAGGUCCUGACGUUAUAGCUCCCGGAACGGUGAGGCCUCUGACACGGAUGUUUGAACCAUCAAAAGCAUAGCCACUUUGCAUGGAGCAGUAAUUGGACACCCAGCGUUUUCUCGUGCAUGAUGGCGAUGACAUCAAAUUCCUGCAGUAAGCGAGCUGGUGACGUCAUUUGCCCGGGACUCACAUGUUAAGUUUUAUACGAAGUGGAAACCUGUUUUAGGUUAAUCGGCACCCACUUGACGUAGUCCAGGUUUGUAGCGUGUCUGAAAACAGUGUUUGUGUAUGUUGUUAGUGAAGCAGUUCGUGUCACAGCAUCUCAAAUGUACUCUUUUUGUGCACUUCAAAAAAUAAAAAAGACACCAUAUAUAGCCUUACUCGUAUUCACUCAACCAUUGUCUACAUUUCUUGCAAAACGAAACAUAUUUUUUAUUUAUCUACUCGAAUCUUUAAUCAAGAUUACGUCAAUUAAUCUCUGCACACUUCGAUAUUUUUAUAUUAAAUGGUGCAAUGUUUGUUUAGACUCUUUACAUUUUACACAAUCAGAU